rnacentral:rRNA from 1 species
GAUGAACGCUGGCGGCGUGCGUAACACAUGCAAGUCGAACGGUAGCACAGAGAGCUUGCUCUCGGGUGACGAGUGGCGGACGGGUGAGUAAUGUCUGGGAAACUGCCCGAUGGAGGGGGAUAACUACUGGAAACGGUAGCUAAUACCGCAUAACGUCGCAAGACCAAAGUGGGGGACCUUCGGGCCUCACACCAUCGGAUGUGCCCAGAUGGGAUUAGCUAGUAGGUGGGGUAAUGGCUCACCUAGGCGACGAUCCCUAGCUGGUCUGAGAGGAUGACCAGCCACACUGGAACUGAGACACGGUCCAGACUCCUACGGGAGGCAGCAGUGGGGAAUAUUGCACAAUGGGCGCAAGCCUGAUGCAGCCAUGCCGCGUGUAUGAAGAAGGCCUUCGGGUUGUAAAGUACUUUCAGCGGGGAGGAAGGCGGUGAAGUUAAUAGCUUCACCGAUUGACGUUACCCGCAGAAGAAGCACCGGCUAACUCCGUGCCAGCCGCCGCAGUAA